rnacentral:rRNA from 1 species
CAGCAGCAGCCGCGGUAAUACAGAGGGUGCGAGCGUUAAUCGGAUUUACUGGGCGUAAAGCGUGCGUAGGCGGCUUUUUAAGUCGGAUGUGAAAUCCCUGAGCUUAACUUAGGAAUUGCAUUCGAUACUGGGAAGCUAGAGUAUGGGAGAGGAUGGUAGAAUUCCAGGUGUAGCGGUGAAAUGCGUAGAGAUCUGGAGGAAUACCGAUGGCGAAGGCAGCCAUCUGGCCUAAUACUGACGCUGAGGUACGAAAGCAUGGGGAGCAAACAGGAUUAGAUACCCCGGUAGUCCCUGUCUCUUAUAA